UAGGGAAUCUUCGGCAAUGGGGGCAACCCUGACCGAGCAACGCCGCGUGAGUGAAGAAGGUUUUCGGAUCGUAAAGCUCUGUUGUAAGUCAAGAACGAGUGUGAGAGUGGAAAGUUCACACUGUGACGGUAGCUUACCAGAAAGGGACGGCUAACUACGUGCCAGCAGCCGCGGUAAUACGUAGGUCCCGAGCGUUGUCCGGAUUUAUUGGGCGUAAAGCGAGCGCAGGCGGUUUGAUAAGUCUGAAGUUAAAGGCUGUGGCUCAACCAUAGUUCGCUUUGGAAACUGUCAAACUUGAGUGCAGAAGGGGAGAGUGGAAUUCCAUGCGUAGCGGUGAAAUGCGUAGAUAUAUGGAGGAACACCGGUGGCGAAAGCGGCUCUCUGGUCUGUAACUGACGCUGAGGCUCGAAAGCGUGGGGAGCGAACAGGAUUAGAUACCCUGGUAGUCCACGCCGUAAACGAUGAGUGCUAGGUGUUGGAUCCUUUCCGGGAUUCAGUGCCGCAGCUAACGCAUUAAGCACUCCGCCUGGGGAGUACNACCGCAAGGUUG
rnacentral:rRNA from 1 species